AUGGAGAUCUAUAUUAGUACAGCAAAGGAGAUGAAUACGCUCAGCGGAGAAGAAGACGCCAUAGUGUUUUGGCACCACAUUUUGUUUGUGGGCUGGGGAGGUGUGGAUGUGUCAGUACUAGCUAAACGCUUUCUUCAUGAUCUCCACUUCCCGAAGGGCUGUUAUCAGCUUCCACCCAAACAGUAUGUUCUCCAAGUGACUCGCAUUUCCUUACUGCCAGGAGAUAUUGAUUAAUUUGCCGGUAUCUUAACAACCAGCACUUGCAAAUGAAAGUGCAGCUUUGUUAAACAAAGGAUGUCAACGAGAGCUGCAGGAGCACCACGGGCAGAGUUUCUGAGCACUUGAGGAAUGUGCCCCGCGCACCACGUGCAGAGAGCAUGCUUUGGCUAAGGUGCAGGAGGAUGCAUGUACACACCUCUACCCAUCUCUCUGUAUAUAUAUCUAUAUGGAUAUAGAUAACGGGAAUGCAAACACCCCGAGAAAAGUUGUGUAUUCUGCCUGAGUGAGGUGGUGGAGCCACUGUCCCUGGGGGUGUUCAAGGAAAGGUUGGACAUGGUGCUUAGGGACAUGGUUUAGUGGGUCACACUGGUGGUAGGGGGAUGGUUGGACCAGACCUUGGAGGUCUCUUCCAACCUUAACAAUUCUAUGAUUCAUUUCAUUCACCCCUCUUGGCCGGUGUGAUCCCCACCUUGGAGUGGCACAUCCCAGUCCUGGCUGAUGCUGAGCACCAGUCUGCACAAGCAGGUCCAUGCUGCAGAGACACUCAUCAGUGUCCCAGCGUGUCCCCUCCCAGCUCCUGGGGCACCCCCAGCACCCCCAGGAGCAGAACAGUCCUGGCGCUGUGUGAGCACUGCUCUGCAGCAACCAAAACAUCGGUGGGUUAUCGCCACUGUUUUCAUCAAAAAUCCCAAACAUAGCAUUGUGUGAGCAUCUGUGAAGAAAAUUAACUCUAUCCCAGCCAAAACCAUGACACCAGGCAAGGCAAAGAAGUUUGUGACAGCACAGGGUCCCCUGAGCACUGUUCACAGACCCUAUACUUAGCAGAACCUAUAUUCCCAGUAUUUGGCCCCAGGAGCAGAUUUGUGGAGUUUCUCACUAGAAAGAGGCAUUUGUGUUUUCUGCAAAGCCUGACCACCACAUGGGCAACCCUGCCCCAUGUUGGUCUGGAAAGGAUCAUGACUGAAACACUAUGGGGCACUGCAGCCACAUUUCCCCAGCAUGAAAUAUAAUUUGACAGUGCAGCAAGCUGAGGAGGCAGGGCUGGUGGUGAAGGCCUACAUCUCUCCUCAGGGAUCAUUAUCACUUAUCACUAAUGUGGCUGGUUGAGCCUUUCUCUGUCAUGGUGCUUAACCACUGGACUCUUUCCCUGACACCUGCUACGAGAUUUCCUGGGUGGAUGCGGGGGGUUUCUCUCCAUGCUUUGUGUGUUUGCAGAUAUUCCUUGCUGUGUUACUUUAGAUCCUUAACAUGUGCACUAAAUGAAUGCCUGCCCUGAGGGAGUGCAGUGCUUAUAUGCAUGAUCAGUUUUGUAGCUUUCUGCCUUUUACACAAAUUUCAGACGUGUCUUUCCUGGUGAGCACAUGGCCUAUGGGAAUUCAGGCACUUUUAGGCUUUGAACAAUUUAUUAUGGCUCUGUGAUGUACUUCUCAAGCAAUAAUAAGUUGCAACCUGGGAGGCAAUUAGGUUUUCUGUAAGACGCUAUCGCCUUCAAAAAGUGAGCAGUGCCCAAAAAGUAAAUAAUAUGCAAUAAAGAAAAUGCUUUCAAAAUAGUUAUUAGACUU
ensembl:lncRNA